rnacentral:lncRNA from 1 species
UGUCGAUUUCGACUAUCUCUCCCGGGAGGGUUUCACCAUAGGUGAGAGAUUGCGUGUCCAGGGCUUAGAGUAUUUCCUCACAUUAGAUCUCCCAACUUACCCUGGAUUAGUUAGAGAGUUUUACGGUACCGUCCAUCGGGGAGAUGGGGGUAUCGAGGGCACGGUAGCCGGUGUCCCUCUGUUCAUUACGGAGGAUCUUAUU